rnacentral:rRNA from 1 species
AUCCUGGCUCAGAAUCAACGCUGGCGGCGCGCUUAACACAUGCAAGUCGAACGAGAAAGCCCGCAAGGGUGAGUAAAGUGGCGUACGGGUGAGUAACACGUGGGUAAUCUACCUUUUGGUGGGGAAUAACCCUGGGAAACCGGGGCUAAUACCGCAUAAGCUCGAAAGAGGAAAGGAGCAAUUCGCCGAAAGAGGAGCCCGCGGCUGAUUAGCUAGUUGGUGAGGUAAAGGCUCACCAAGGCAAUGAUCGGUAGCCGGCCUGAGAGGGCACACGGCCACACUGGCACUGAAACACGGGCCAGACUCCUACGGGAGGCAGCAGUGGGGAAUCUUGCACAAUGGGGGAAACCCUGAUGCAGCGACGCCGCGUGAGCGAUGAAGCCCUUCGGGGUGUAAAGCUCUUUCGGCAGGGACGAUAAUGACGGUACCUGAAGAAGAAGCUGCGGCUAACUACGUGCCAGCAGCCGCGGUAAUACGUAGGCAGCGAGCGUUGUUCGGAGUUACUGGGCGUAAAGAGUGCGUAGGCGGUUUUCUAAGUUUGGUGUGAAAUCUCCCGACUUAACUGGGAGGGUGCGCCGAAGACUGGAAGGCUUGAGUAUGGGAGAGGUAAGCGGAAUUCCUGGUGUAGCGGUGAAAUGCGUAGAUAUCAGGAGGAACACCUGCGGUGUAGACGGCUUACUGGACCAUAAC